rnacentral:rRNA from 1 species
GUAGGUGGCAAGCGUUGUCCGGGAAUUAUUGGGGCGUAAAGCGCGCGCAGGCGGUUCUUUAAGUCUGAUGUGAAAGCCCACGGGCUCAACCGUGGAGGGUCAUUGGAAACUGGAGAACUUGAGUACAGAAGAGGAAAGCGGAAUUCCACGUGUAGCGGUGAAAUGCGUAGAGAUGUGGAGGAACACCAGUGGCGAAGGCGGCUUUCUGGCUGUAACUGACGCUGAGGCGCGAAAGCGUGGGGAGCAAACAGGAUUAGAUACCCUGGUAGUCCACGCCGUAAACGAUGAGUGCUAAGUGUUAGGGGGUUUCCGCCCCUUAGUGCUGCAGCUAACGCAUUAAGCACUCCGCCUGGGGAGUACGGCCGCAAAGGCUGA